ensembl:snoRNA LOC120102658 small nucleolar RNA SNORA48
CUGCUAUGGACAAAGAGAUAGCUUGUUGCUGCUGUUCUUCUAUUAGUCAGGAGCAGUCCUUUGCUCAUCCUAGCCUGAUGCCUGGCUUGGUGGCCAAAGUUUUGUUAUGCCUAGGACACAUAA